rnacentral:rRNA from 1 species
GCUACUGCCAUCAGAGUUCGAUUUAGCCAUGUUAGUCGAGGGUGCUUCUUCUUCGGAAGAAGUAACCCGGCGGACGGCUCAGUAACACGUGGAUAACUUGCCCUUGGGUCUGGGAUAACCCCUGAGAAAUUGGGGACAAUACCAGAUAGGGCAUCGAUAGCUGGAAUGCGCGAUGUCCAAAAGCUGAGGCGCCCAAGGAUAGGUCUGCGGCCGAUUAGGUUGUUGUUGAUGUAAUGGAUCAACAAGCCUGCAAUCGGUACGGGUUGUGAGAGCAAGAGCCCGGAGAUGGGUUCUGAGAAAAGAACCCAGGUCCUACGGGACGCAUCAGGCGCGAAAACUUUACAAUGUGCGAAAGCACGAUAAGGGAACUCUGAGUGCCUCCUAUGGAGGCUGUUCAGGUGUCUAAAAAGCACUUGAAGUAAGGGCUGGGUAAGACCGGUGCCAGCCGCCGCGGUAACACCGGCAGCCCAAGUGGUAGCCACGAUUAUUGGGUCUAAAGCGUCCGUAGCCGGCCAGGUAAGUUCUUUGGGAAAUUUAACCGCUCAACGGUUAAGCUUUCAGGGAAUACUGCUUGGCUUGGGACCGGGAGAGGUCAGAGGUACUUCAAGGGUAGGGGUGAAAUCCGUUAAUCCUUGAGGGACCACCAGUAGCGAAGGCGUCUGACCAGACCGGGUCCGACGGUGAGGGACGAAGGCUAGGGUCGCGAACCGGAUUAGAUACCCGGGUAGUCCUAGCUGUAAACGAUGCGGGCCAGGUGUUGGCAUUACUGCGAGUGAUGUCAGUGCCGAAGG